rnacentral:rRNA from 1 species
UACGUAGGCAGCGAGCGUUGUUCGGAGUUACUGGGCGUAAAGAGUGCGUAGGCGGUGCUCCAAGUCUGGUGUGAAAUCCCCAGGCUUAACCUGGGAACUGCAUUCGAGACUGCAUUGCUAGAGUAUGGGAGAGGGAAGUGGAAUUUCCGGUGUAGCGGUGAAAUGCAUUGAGAUCGGAAAGAACACCAACGGCGAAAGCACUCUGCUGGGCCGACACUGACACUGAGAGACGAAAGCUAGGGGAGCAAAUGGG